AUUGAACGCUGGCGGCAGGCCUAACACAUGCAAGUCGAGCGAGCGGAGGACGGGUGAGCAAUGUAUGGGGACUGCCCGCUAGCGGGGGUAAACCACGGGAAACGGAGGCUAAUACCGCACACUAACGGAAGACCCAUAUUGGAUUAGCUAGUAGGUGGGGUAAAGGCUCACCUAGGCUACGUCCUGUAGCUGGUCUGAGAGGAUGGUCAGCCACGCUGUGACUGGUACACGGCCCAGCCUCCUACUGAGGCAUCAGUGGGGAGUAGUGGCCAAUGCGCGCAAGCCUCAUGCAUCCAUGCCGCGUGUAUCAAGAGGGCCUUAGGGUUGUAAAGUACUUUCAUCUGUGAGGCGUUACCCGCAGAGGAAGCGCCGGCUAACUCCGUGCCAGCAGCCGCGGUAAUAC
rnacentral:rRNA from 1 species